UUAAAAUUAGUCACAAAAUUAUAAUUGUAAAAAGCACAACUUUUUAUUUAUUCCAUAACUAUUACAGAAGAACGUACACACGUACAAGUUGUUCGUAGAGAAACAACUUUAGGAGCGAGAUAUCUAGACCUAACUAGGGCACAAGUGGGAACAUUUACAGAUAAACCCCUUGCGCACCUUACAUUUAUUCCCGCCAAACUUAAUUUGGCCCCCAUGCACAUUAUUUUAUGUAUGAAACAUAUAUAUAAAUAUGUUACAUGGUGUUUAUUAACUAGCUAGUAUUACAAACACGCACGGAUUGGCUUAAGAGUGGGUUUAAACCUAGGGUCUAGCAGCCCGGCCAUCUUCAACCUCUCCCGCCACCUCGUCCACCACCCCAGCCGCCACCUCGUCCACCAUAUCCGCCUCCAUAACCACCUCGUCCACCAUAUCCGCCGCCGCCAUAACCACCUCGUCCACCCCAGNNN
rnacentral:lncRNA from 1 species